rnacentral:rRNA from 1 species
UGCCAGUAGUCAUACGCUCGUCUCAAAGACUAAGCCAUGCAAGUCUAAGUAUAAAUCCUUUACUUUGAAACUGCGAAUGGCUCAUUAUAUCAGUUAUAGUUUAUUUGAUAGUCCCUCACUACUUGGAUAACCGUAGUAAUUCUAGAGCUAAUACAUGCGUUGAUACCCCUCUGGGGUAGCAUUUAUUAGAUGGAAACCAACCCCUUCGGGGUGAUGUGGUGAAUCAUAAUAAGCUUGUGGAUCGCCGGUGGCGAUGGAUCAUUCAAGUUUCUGCCCUAUCAGCUUUGGACGGUAAGGUAUUGGCUUACCGUGGCUUUAACGGGUAACGGGGAAUUAGGGUUUGAUUCCGGAGAGGGAGCCUGAGAGGUGCGUUACAAUAGAGUUAUUUUGAUUCUACUU